GAUGAACGCUGGCGGCGUGCCUAAUACAUGCAAGUCGAGCGAACAGACGAGGAGCUUUCUCCUCUGACGUUAGCGGCUGACGGGUGAGUAACACGUGGAUAACCUACCUAUAAUACUUGGAUAACUUCGGGAAACCGGAGAUAAUACCGGAUAAUAUAUUGUACCGCAUGGUUCAAUAGUGAAAGACGCUUUUGCUGUCACUUUUAGAUGAAUCCGCGCCGCAUUAUCUAGUUGGUAAGGUAACGGCUUACCAAGGCAACGAUGCGUAGCUGACCUGAGAGGGUGAUCAGCCACACUGGAACUGAGACACGGUCCAGACUCCUACGGGAGGCAGCAGUGGGGAAUAUUCCGCAAAGGGCGAAAGCCUGACGGAGCAACGCCGCGUGAGUGAUGAAGGUCUUCGGAUCGUAAAGCUCUGUUAUUAGGGAAGAAAAAAUGUGGAAGUAAAUAUGCACGUCCUGACGGUACCUAAUGAGAAAGCAACGGCUAACUACGUG
rnacentral:rRNA from 1 species